UCCCAGACUCCUACGGGAGGCAGCAGUGGGGGAUAUUGCGCAAUGGGGGGAACCCUGAUGCAGCGACGCCGCGUGAGCGAAGAAGUACCUCGGUAUGUAAAGCUCUAUCAGCAGGGAAGAAAAUGACGGUACCUGACUAAGAGGCCCCGGCUAAAUACGUGCCAGCAGCCGCGGUAAUACGUAUGGGGCAAGCGUUAUCCGGAUUUACUGGGUGUAAAGGGAGCGCAGGCGGCCUGCCAAGUCUGGUGUGAAAUGCCGGGGCUUAACCCCGGAACUGCUUUGGAAACUGUGCAGCUAGAGUGCAGGAGAGGUAAGUGGAAUUCCUAGUGUAGCGGUGAAAUGCGUAGAUAUUAGGAGGAACACCAGUGGCGAAGGCGGCUUACUGGACUGUAACUGACGUUGAGGCUCGAAAGCGUGGGGAGCAAACAGGAUUAGAUACCCGUGUAGA
rnacentral:rRNA from 1 species